GAUGAAGAACGUAGUGAAAUGCGAUACUUGGUGUGAAUUGCAGAAUCCCGUGAACCAUCGAGUCUUUGAACGCAAGUUGCGCCCGAAGCCAUUAGGCCGAGGGCACGCCUGCCUGGGCGUCACACGUCGUUGCCCCCCCGUCUACUCCUUCGGGAUUGCGGGGGGCGGAUGAUGGCCUCCCGUGCGCCUCGUCGUGCGGUUGGCAUAAAUGCCAAGUCCUCGGCGACGCACGCCACGACAAUCGGUGGUUGCGAAACCUCGGUUGCCCGUCGUGUGCGGUCGUCGCGCAUCGAGGGCUCGAAAAAAUUGCCGGGCUCUGUCUCGGCUUUCAACGCGACCCCAGGUCAGGCGGGGUUACCCGCUGAAUUUAAGCAUAUCAAUAAGCGGAGGA
rnacentral:misc_RNA from 1 species